rnacentral:rRNA from 1 species
UACAGAGGGGGCAAGCGUUAUUCGGAAUUAUUGGGCGUAAAGGGCGCGUAGGCGGCCUGGCAAGUUGAAGGUGAAAUCCCCCGGCUUAACCGGGGAACUGCCUUCCAGACUGCCUGGCUUGAGACCGGGAGAGGUGAGUGGAAUUCCCAGUGUAGCGGUGAAAUGCGUAGAUAUUGGGAGGAACACCAGUGGCGAAGGCGGCUCACUGGACCGGUACUGACGCUGAGGAGCGAAAGCGUGGGGAGCGAACAGG